CCUAAAGGCAUGUUUAGAUCCAACACAAAGCAAAGAUCUGAUUAGAAAUGAACAGCCAGUUCAGAGGGCUGAUUCUCAUGGGAUUAAUGUUCCCAUCUCAUCUGUAGUAUCAAUAAAUGCCUUUAUUUUACAUUUCUAAUCCAGCUUUUUGGGAUGUAGAUAUGAGAUGAUAUCAAUGAACUUGACAACAUACAAAGGGUUUUAGAACUGCUAAGGACCCCAAAUAUAAUGAUAAAUAUAAAGCCAGUUAUGUAUUUUUCUGUGUUUAAAACCCUUUUAUUUUGUAUGUGCAAAUUCAAUGAAAUAUAAAAUUAAAAAGAAAAGAAAAAUGAAAAAGACAACAGAAUAAUGAUCACAGAAUAACCUAUCCAUAUUCAGCUUUGUGAGGACCUUGCAUUGACUUUAUCCAUUGGUGUGUACCACAGAGGUUCGUUCUUGGACCGUUUUUUAUUCAAGACCUAAAUGGACUGAUUUAGUCACCUUUUGUGUCGGCUGAUGAUUGUGUAUUUCCCCAGGAUAUUUCAAGAAUGUGUGCUUUCUGUAAUGUAUCAAGAUACUGGUAUAUUUAUUCUCUGUAUUGUAGGUGCUGUCUGUUAAAGAAGACUCUUAAAGGAAAUCUCAUCUGGAAAAGGGUAAGUGUUCAAAUUUUCCCUACUUUCAUGGCCACAUGUGACUCCCAAGUUUGAGAGAGAUCUUGAUGACCAGCUGCUGUCCUACUCUAUUAUUGAAGUGCCUUUCAAGAGCUCAUCUUCUUAUCCAUUCAAGGGGGAAAUUCCCGACAUCUGUGCACAGCAUAAUAUGUUCAUUUCUUGUCAGAUUAUACAGCCAAUAUUUCACAAGAAUAUUAAUAAAUGGUGAAUUUUACAAUAA